GCGAAGCUGUGCUUGUACAGACGAGCCAAGGCGGACGGGUGAGUAACGCGUAAGGAACUUGCCCCGCAGACAGGGAUAACAGACGGAAACGACUGAUAAGACCUGGUAUUGUCAGGCUGACGCAUGUCAGACUGAUGAAAGGAGACGCUGCGGGAGAGCCUUGCGUCCUAUUAGCUUGUUGGUGGGGUAACGGCCCACCAAGGCGAUGAUAGGUAGCCGGCCUGAGAGGGUGAACGGCCACAAGGGGACUGAGAUACGCCUUACUCCUACGGAGCACAUGGGGAAUAUGGACAUGGGGGCACCUGAUCCAGCAAUUCUGUGUGCACGAAGAAGGUUUUCGGAUUGUAAAGUGCUUUCAGCAGGGAAGAAGCAAGUGACGGUACCUGCAGAAGAAGCGACGGCUAAAUACGUGCCAGCAGCCGCGGUAAUACGUAUGUCGCAAGCGUUAUCCGGAAUUAUUGGGCAUAAAGGGCAUCUAGGCGGCCCUGUAAGUCUAGGGUGAAAACCUGCGGCUCAACCGCAGGCCUGCCCCGGAAACUACGGGACUGGAGUAUU
rnacentral:rRNA from 1 species